GUCCAAGGGGAUUCCCUCUUCCAAGGGGCCUACUCGUGCCCCGCUCCAGGAAAGCGGCAACGUGGGAUGAAACCAGGUGUCCCCUGCCUUCCUCUGGCUGCCUACCUGC